AAACCAGCACCUCAAGUGGUCAGGAUGAUUAUUGGGCCUAAAGCAUCCGUAGCCUGCUCUGUAAGUUUUCGGUUAAAUCUGUACGCUCAACGUACAGGCUGCUGGGAAUACUGCAGAGCUAGGGAGUGGGAGAGGUAGACGGUACUCGGGAGGAAGUGGUAAAAUGCUUUGAUCUCUCGAUGACCACCUGUGGCGAAGGUGGUCUAUCAGAACACGUCCGACGGUGAGGGAUGAAAGCUGGGGGAGCAAACCGGAUUAGAUACCCGAGUAGUCC
rnacentral:rRNA from 1 species